rnacentral:rRNA from 1 species
AGUGAACGCUGGCGGUAGGCCUAACACAUGCAAGUCGAACGGCAGCACAGUAAGAGCUUGCUCUUACGGGUGGCGAGUGGCGGACGGGUGAGGAGUACAUCGGAAUCUACUUUUUCGUGGGGGAUAACGUAGGGAAACUUACGCUAAUACCGCAUACGACCUACGGGUGAAAGCAGGGGAUCUUCGGACCUUGCGCGAUUGAAUGAGCCGAUGUCGGAUUAGCUAGUUGGCGGGGUAAAGGCCCACCAAGGCGACGAUCCGUAGCUGGUCUGAGAGGAUGAUCAGCCACACUGGACCUGAGACACGGUCCAGCCUCCUACGGGAGGCAGCGGUGGGGAAUAUUGGACAAUGGGCGCAAGCCUGCUCCAGCCAUCCCGCGUGGGUGAAGAAGGCCUUCGGGUUGUAAAGCCCUUUUGUUGGGAAAGAAAAGCAGCAGGUUAAUACCCCGCUGUUCUGACGGUACCCAAAGAAUAAGCACCGGCUAACUUCGU